AAGUAAAGUCGUAACAAGGUCUCCGUAACAAGGCUUCCGUUGGUGAACCUGCGGAGGGAUCAUU
rnacentral:rRNA from 1 species